rnacentral:misc_RNA from 1 species
GCAAAGCUGCUUCUUAGAGAGUUGAAGACUGUCAAAGCAGAUUUUGCUUUUGCAAAGGAACGAUGUGCUCAGCUGGAAGAAGAAAAUAAAAUUCUUCGGGAGAAUCGUGAGAGGGGAAACAACCUAGAAGAUGAUGAUUUGAUACGACUACAACUCGAAACACUUCUGGCAGAGAAGGCUCGUUUGGCCCACGAAAAUUCAGUCUAUGCACGUGAGAAUCGGUUUCUAAGGGAGAUUGUUGAAUACCACCAG